UGGGGAAUAUUGGACAAUGGGCGCAAGCCUGAUCCAGCAAUACCGCGUGUGUGAAGAAGGCCUUAGGGUUGUAAAGCACUUUCAAUUGGGAGGAAAACCUGCCGGUCAAUACCCGGUAGCUUGACAUUACCUUUAGAAGAAGCACCGGCUAACUCCGUGCCAGCAGCCGCGGUAAUACGGAGGGUGCGAGCGUUAAUCGGAAUUACUGGGCGUAAAGCGUGCGUAGGCGGUUCGUUAAGUCAGAUGUGAAAGCCCUGGGCUCAACCUGGGAACGGCAUUUGAAACUGGCGGACUAGAGUUUAGUAGAGGGGAGUGGAAUUUCAGGUGUAGCGGUGAAAUGCGUAGAUAUCUGAAGGAACACCAGUGGCGAAGGCGACUCCCUGGACUAGAACUGACGCUGAGGUACGAAAGCGUGGGUAGCAAACAGGAUUAGAUACCCUGGUAGUCCACGCCGUAAACGAUGUCGACUAGCCGUUGGUCCUAUUUACAGGAUUAGUGGCGCAGCUAACGCAUUAAGUCGACCGCCUGGGGAGUACGGCCGCAAGGUUA
rnacentral:rRNA from 1 species